GUUCAGUACUACUUUACGAAGCACCCUGUUCCUGUCUGGUCUUGGAAGCUGAGCAGGGUCAGGUGUGGUUAAUACUUCACUGGGAGACCACCAAUGAAUCCCGGUUGCUAUGAGCU
rnacentral:rRNA from 11 species